rnacentral:rRNA from 1 species
UGAACGCUGGCGGCGUGCCUAAUACAUGCAAGUCGAGCGAACAGACGAGGAGCUUGCUCCUCUGACGUUAGCGGCGGACGGGUGAGUAACACGUGGAUAACCUACCUAUAAGACUGGGAUAACUUCAGGAAACCGGAGCUAAUACCGGAUAAUAUAUUGAACCGCAUGGUUCAAUAGUGAAAGACGGUUUUGCUGUCACUUAUAGAUGGAUCCGCGCCGCAUUAGCUAGUUGGUAAGGUAACGGCUUACCAAGGCGACGAUGCGUAGCCGACCUGAGAGGGUGAUCGGCCACACUGGAACUGAGACACGGUCCAGACUCCUACGGGAGGCAGCAGUAGGGAAUCUUCCGCAAUGGGCGAAAGCCUGACGGAGCAACGCCGCGUGAGUGAUGAAGGUCUUCGGAUCGUAAAACUCUGUUAUUAGGGAAGAACAAAUGUGUAAGUAACUAUGCACGUCUUGACGGUACCUAAUCAGAAAGCCACGGCUAACUACGUG